rnacentral:rRNA from 1 species
ACCGUGCAAAGGUAGCAUAAUCAUUAGUUUUUUAAUUGGAAGCUGGAAUGAACGGUUGGACGAGGGGAUAACUGUCUCAAUUUAAUUGGUUUAGAAUUUUAUUUUUAAGUAAAAAAGCUUAAAUGAGUUUAAAAGACGAGAAGACCCUAUAGAGUUUUACAUAAGUUGUGAUUUAAAGGCAUUAGUAUUUAGUUAUUUGAAUUGUAUUUUGUGUUUUGUUGGGGCGACAGAAAAAUUGAAUGAACUUUUUUUUUAUUGGUACAUUAAUAUAUGAGUAAGUGAUCCGUUGAUAACGAUUAUAAGAUUAAAUUACCUUAGGGAUAACAGCGUAAUUUUUUUUGAGAGUUCUAAUCGAAAAAAGAGUUU